AUGAACGCUGGCGGCGUGCCUAAUACAUGCACGUCGAGCGAACGGACGAGAAGCUUGCUUUUCUGAUGUUAGCGGCGGACGGGUGAGUAACACGUGGAUAACCUACCUAUAAGACUGGGAUAACUUCGGGAAACCGGAGCUAAUACCGCAUAAUAUUUUGAACCGCAUGGUUCAAAAGUGAAAGACGGUCUUGCUGUCACUUAUAGAUGGAUCCGCGCUGCAUUAGCUAGUUGGUAAGGUAACGGCUUACCAAGGCAACGAUGCAUAGCCGACCUGAGAGGGUGAUCGGCCACACUGGAACUGAGACACGGUCCAGACUCCUACGGGAGGCAGCAGUAGGGAAUCUUCCGCAAUGGGCGAAAGCCUGACGGAGCAACGCCGCGUGAGUGAUGAAGGUCUUCGGAUCGUAAAACUCUGUUAUUAGGGAAGAACAUAUGUGUAAGUAACUGUGCACAUCUUGACGGUACCUAAUCAGAAAGCCACGGCUAACUACGUG
rnacentral:rRNA from 1 species